AUCCUUUAAAGAAAGCGUAACAGCUCACUGGUCUAAAUAAGGGUUUCUGCGGCGAAGAUGUAUCGGGGCUAAAGUGAUGCACCGAAGCUUAGGGUUCAUAGUUUAUUAUGAGCGGUAGCGGAGCGUUCCGUAAGCGAGUGAAGCCGAAGGGUAACCGACGGUGGACGUAUCGGAAGUGCGAAUGCUGACAUGAGUAGCGACAAAGAGGGUGAGAUGCCCUCUCGCCGAAAGACCAAGGGUUCCUACGCAAUGCUAAUCAGCGUAGGGUGAGCCGGCCCCUAAGACGAGCCCGAAGGGGGUAGUCGAUGGGAACCACGUUAAUAUUCGUGGGCCUGGAGAUGUGUGACGGAUCGCGGAAGUUGUUCAUCCUUAUCGGAUUGGAUGGGCAGCCAAGUGGUUCCAGGAAAUAGCCUCUCCAUAUAGACCGUACCCGAAACCGACACAGGUGGUCAGGUAGAGUAUACCAAGGCGCUUGAGAGAAGUAUCCUGAAGGAACUCGG
rnacentral:rRNA from 1 species